GCAAGUCGAGGGGUAACAGGGUAGCUUGCUAUUGCUGACGACCGGCGCACGGGUGCGUAACGCGUAUACAAUCUACCUUAUACUGGGGUAUAGCCUUUAGAAAUGAAGAUUAACCCCCCAUAGUCUCUUUUAGUGGCAUCACUUUUAGAGUAAAGGUUACGGUAUAAGAUGAGUAUGCGUUCUAUUAGUUUGUUGGUAAGGUAACGGCUUACCAAGACUACGAUAGAUAGGGGCCCUGAGAGGGGGAUC
rnacentral:rRNA from 1 species